GUGUGUGUGUAUAUAAUGCAGUGUGUUUGUGUAGUGUGUUUAUAUAAUGCACACUACACAAACACACUGCAUUAUAUACACACACUAU